UUCUGGCCUGAAGCUGUCAAGAUCUGCAUGCUGGCAAAGCUCACCACGGAAAAAUGCUGGGAUGAAGGUCAUUUGCCGUUGGCAGCACCUGGAAGCCAUGAAGGAAAUCCAAAAGAAACUGACUUCUAACCCUGGACUUCACCUUCAUGAGAAGAACUGGGGAAGAGACAUAGUGAAUCACAGGGCUCCUGCUAUUUAUUAUCCAGAGGCAAAUGGAAAAUGGAAUCAUUUUCACAGCAUUUUGAAAGGCUGUUUACAAACUGUUGGCCUGGAAGGGAAAUUCUGGAAAUCAUUCACUGUAGAUGUCUUAUGUAACCACCUGUCUGACAUUCAACAAGCCUAUCCUGCAGGGAUAGGAGCAAGGUGCUAAUGUUCUCCAAAGUCCCACACAAACCAGAGUUAAUGGCUGGGUGGAUAGCUCCCAGUGAAUAACUUAG